UAUCUUUCCAUGCUACCUGCUUCUUACCUUGGCAGUUAUGUAGAUUAAAUGACACAGGCAGAGGAGAGGCGUCAGGUGACUGAGGCGAGUCCACCUGCAGGUAUUCAGAGAGGAGCGCGCUCAAUGUAGGACAGCUUUCCAACAGGGCAUUCAUCAGCCCUAAAUAUAGACGGGACCGAAGUAGGCUGAGCGCAGAGCCCUGCAGAAGGGCCGCGUAAAAAGAAGAAGCCCUGAGUUAACUCCUCUUGCUUAAGGGAUUAAAAGCAAGACGUGGUUUCCCCCCGUCACCAACUGCACAUGAAGAGGAAAGUGACAAACUCACACACAAAUGUAAUGACGUGUUGAAGAAUAAGCAGUUCUCAUUAAUAGGUUUGAACUUUAAACACUAACUGGUCGUUGUAAAUGUUGCUCCUGUACUGGCUUGCAAAGUGAUCUACUAAAACCAUUCCCAUCUGACGGAGGAGGACUGAAGGGAACAGCUCCAGCUGUCCGUUACAGACCAAUUAAAUGCAUAUCUUCCAAAGUGUUGUCGUCAAAUAGCCUUUGUGCUUCACAAGCUGUCAAUCAUUAUUCAGUCAGCUGCUGUUGUAUCGACAGCAGAAGUGUAAUGUUAGUGUACAGUAAUAAGUUGUGACUGUGCGAUGCCACCAUGUACCCUGCAGAACAGAGCAAAACUAAAUCCUGAUAACCAAACAGGAGGGCGGACGGCUGCAGCAAGAUCACAGCUAGAAAACACUGACGCUUAGAAAUCUACUCCGUCAGACUUUCACAACACUGUUAAAGACUCAUUGAUACUCAGCUGAACUUUUUGCAAAAGGGGGACUGUAACUUUUGUCUUUAAUUACCUUAAGAGGGGAUAUUUUAAUGGACCGUAUAAGUGAGGCUGGGCCACAUGGUCGGUGAGAGACAUCAACAUUCCUGCUGGAGGACAUCUGGACAUGAACUGAGAGAGAACAGGUCGGAGAGGAAGAGGAGUCAGAGAGAUGAGUCAAGUCAGAUAUAUUUUAUAAUUGAUCUAAUUCCCAGAAAUAUAUCUGUAGGAAUGAAUAGUAUUUGUAUGGCAGCAGGUAAUCCUGGGUGUGGUCAUGAUCGUUCAGAGCACAAGAGUUCCAUAACACUCCUCAGUGCCAGUAAACCACACAAAAGACCAUCACAUGUAUCCCAGUUACACCAGUGUCUCAUUCCAGUUGGUUGUCACAGGGCAGGGAAGCUCCCUGUUAUGCUCCUAUCUUUUAUGUAAGAUUGACAGUGUGGUUUCAAGUAGCUGUGAGACAAGCAUUAAAGUGCUGGUUUGAACACACAGUCAUCAUGACUCAUUAAGAAAUCCCCACUCAAGACUUCGGUCGGGAUUUUGGAAGUGAGUCAUCGAAGCAAAAAGGUGUGACAAUCAGAGAUACAGGUGGAAACUGGCGAUAAGAGCCUCAGUGGGAGAGGUGGACGGUGCGAGAAAGAGAAAGAAAGAAACAAAUACAAAAAAAAAAAAACGGUCUCUACGUUUGGAUUUGGUGAGGAACAAGACAGACUUCCAUUGCAAGUUUGAAAUGUCAUAAAUACGCA
ensembl:lncRNA